CUUUUCUCAAACAAAUAUUUAAAUUUCUCCAAGGCUUUCAAUACAGUUUCCCACAGCCUCCUCCUAGAGAAACGGGUGCGUUAUGGUCUAGACAAGUGGUCUGUGCGGUGGGUGGGGAACUGGCUG